rnacentral:rRNA from 1 species
AUUGAACGCUGGCGGCAGGCUUAACACAUGCAAUUCAAGCAGAGAGAGGUAGCUUUCUACUGAUCUUAUCGGCGGACGGGUGAGUACUGUUUAGGAAUCUGCCUAUUAGUGGGGGACAACAUUUCGAAAGGAAUGCUAAUACCGCAUACGUCCUACGGGAGAAAGCAGGGGAUCUUCGGACCUUGCGCUAAUAGAUGAGCCUAAGUCGGAUUAGCUAGUUGGUGGGGUAAAGGCCUACCAAGGCGACGAUCUGUAGCGGGUCUGAGAGGAUGAUCCGCCACACUGGGACUGAGACACGGCCCAGACUCCUACGGGAGGCAGCAGUGGGGAAUAUUGGACAAUGGGCGGAAGCCUGAUCCAGCCAUGCCGCGUGUGUGAAGAAGGCCUAUGGUUGUAAAGCACUUUAAGCGAGGAGGAGGCUACUUUAGUUAAUACCUAGAGAUAGUGGACGUUACUCGCAGAAUAAGCACCGGCUAACUCUGUGCCAGCCGCCGCCGUAA